GACGAACGCUGGCGGCGUGCCUAAUACAUGCAAGUCGAACGCAGUUGGGACGGGUGAGUAACACGUGGGUAACCUCCCAUCAGGGGGGAUAACAUUUGGAAACAGGUGCUAAACCGAUACUGAUGGAUGGACGCGCGGUGCAUUAGCUAGUUGGUGAGGUAACGGCUCACCAAGGGCACGAUGCCUAGCCGGGCUGGGAGGGUGAUCGGCCCCACGUGGACUGAGACACGGCCCAGACGCCUACGGGAGGCAGCAGUGGGGAAUAUUGCACAAGGGGCGCAAGCCUGAUGCAGCCAUGCCGCGUGUAUGAAGAAGGCCUUAGGGGUGUAAAGUACUUUCAGCGGGGAGGCGUUACCCGCAGAAGAAGCACCGGCUAACUCCGUGCCAGCCGCCGCGGUAAUAC
rnacentral:rRNA from 1 species